GUCAGGGUGGCCGAGCGGUCUAAGGCGCCAGACUCAAGGGUAAGCCUUCUGGGUAUUCUGGUCCACGAAUGUGGGCGUGGGUUCGAAUCCCACCUCUGACA
rnacentral:tRNA from 1 species